GCGGGGGUAACUCAGUGGUAGAGUGCCUGCCUUCCAAGCAGGUCGUCGCGGGUUCGAGUCCCGUCCCCCGCUCCA
rnacentral:tRNA from 1 species